UAUCUGGAUGAGAGAGACAGCGAGUGGGACUGUCAUCUCCUGGCUACAGACAGCACCCUCAGUCUGGUAACUACUAAAGUGACUUCCUUCAUGCUCACCCUAUUAACUUUUUCUUUAAUGUUCUGUCUAGGGAGACGGCUGUGAGAUCCAGAAAGAGAAGAAGAACACAGCUGUCGUAACCCAUUGCUGACGCUGUGUUCCCAGCUGACCUUCAGCCAUGAAGAUCCUUUAUCUGCUGUUUGCUGUUUUCCUUCUAGUGCUCCAGGGUGCACCAGAAUUCUCGCAGGCUGAGAGUCCCUACCUGCAAUGUAGACUCCAUGGGGGUGACUGUUACUUGAAGAGAUGUCACUUCAAUUUUGAAGCCAUUGGAAUAUGUGAUAAAUAUCAGGUCUGCUGCAAAAGAAUACAGAAAUCAAGCAGGAAAAAGAAAAGUCUGGAGCAGAGAGUGUGGGGGCUGUGUCUACUCUGUAGCAGUCUACAGAAGAAGUGAAGGGAGAAAAUAUCAGGUUCUCAAGGACUCUAAUCUAGCAGAGAAGGCAGAACAAGAUCCAAUGCCUGAAAGCUUAAACCAGACAAAUUCAAGUUAGAAACAGGACACGGAUUUUUUUACAGUGAAGGUGACUAACAAUUGGAAGAAGCUACCAAGGAAAUGAGGUAUUCUCCAUCUCUUGGUAUCUUCACAUCAAGGCUGGAUGUCUUUGUAGAAGAUAAUUAAAUACAAGUUACUGGGCUCAAUAUAGGGGUAACGGGGGAAAUUCUAUGGCCUACCUUGUACAGGAGGUCAGACUAGAUGAUUUAUUGGUCCCUUCUGGCCUUAAAAUCUAUGAAAUUCUGAGGAAAAAAUGGCUGCAGUCAGCUGAGACCCAUUUUUUAUACAGCUUGCAAACUCUAAAGCUACAGCUUAAUAAAAAAAGAAAAGCCUAAGAGUUUGGUGUUUACUGACACCUGAGGGUGGGUGUAAGUUUGUGUGUGUGUAGGGAGAGUAAAAAAGUAAAUAAGGUAAAGUAUUUUUGAACUAGUUAAAUCACAACUGUCAGAAUAUUGUAAAUGGACACAUGUCCUAGGCCUCCCUCAAGGAUCCAUCCAGACAGAUCUCGUGUGAAGAAUAUUUGAGUGGAAACCAACAAAUUCAUUAAAAUUGCAGUUAGACCAGCACAGUGUAGCAUGUCACUGGGCUUCCUUACAGUAUAUGCGGGUCCAGACGCUACUAAUAUUAAUGCACAUGAGGAGCUACAUUAAAAUAUGGUAGCUUGUGUAUGAGAGCUUGCAGACUGGAGAUGCUGUAGAACACAUCACUGUGCUCGGCGCUAUCUUGCCCAACAGAUUGGGGAAUGAAGCAGACAUCUCCAGAAUGAAGCUCAUGGGUCUCUAAACACUGAAGGACCAGGCUCUCUAUCUGGGGCUGUAACAGACUCCCAUUCGCUGUAGAUUAGGCACAGAGGGGAAAUUUAAUGCACGCUGACCAGUGUGUGACACAGACAUAUUAUCAGAGUGCUCAGUCUUCUAUAUAAUUAAAACAGCAUCAGUCCACAAAGGAUUUAAAGCCAUUUAAGAGCUCAUGAAUCCUUUAGUCCUUAAAGCAGCUCAGUGUACAGAGUCUUAACCCUUUAUUGUUCCCCUUUUGAAAACCAAGGGAGGUAGUUGUAAAUAUCUUGGUGACGUCAAUGUGAACACUAAUCAGAAGGUUUUUGAAUGGUUUAAACAUCAAGGUUCCUAUGUAAAGUUAGACUGGCCACAUUGUAAAUCUCUAAGCUUUUUUAUUCCUGCUCUGCUUGUUUCAGACAUUAUCUGUUAUAAAUUAUACAGGACACCCAGCUUGGUCCUAUUAAUGUUGCAUCAAGUACAGCUCCCUGAGAAGCAGUUGGGAGGGUGAGAGAUUUUCCCACCUACUAAAAUAUGCAGGUUGGGGGGCAGGUGAAGCUGGGAGCACCUUUGGCCUGCAGAGUGAGAGCCAGGGAGCUAGGCUGGGGUGACCAUGCUUGCAGCUGCUCGGCAACCGUCCUGGCUGAUUCACUGAGCAUGCCCAGAUAUCCCUGCUAUUACCAGGCCAGGUUACUAAUAUGGAAUUGCCCUCAGAACAGAGUUGACCAUUGAUAGAAAUGGAAUUUCCCUUUUUCUUUAAGAGUAAGUUAUUUAUCACCUACAUAAUUAUCUGUCAUUUUAGCUUCAGCUGUGCCUAAGGUGUGUUUGAUAGAAUAACUGUGCCUGGAUGCGCGUCAUGCUUUUUUCCAUUGUAGUUUUUAUAGGCAGCCAGUUCACCUGUUUGGAUACAUAUGACUAUCCCCCUUAAAACUCUGGGACAGAAUGUUGCAGUAGGGAAAAUGACAUCCCUGUGCUGGAGUUAACCAGGGAUCCCUUCACUCACCAUAGAGUGACAAGGCAAUUCCUUUGCUGCCUUUUGAUUUGAAAUCAAACAUCAUAGUAUUUCUGUUCUAAGGAAAACAUCUCAGAUGUCAAGAAUUAUAACAUUCAA